CUUCUGUGAGUGGUAAGGAAGGGAGGGAGUGGUAUGCGGGACCCACGACCUUGGGCUCUCUGCUGUACUGGGGUUGUGGGUUACAGGGUUGGCGACCAUUCUGUGGGUUUGCCAUGAUAUUUCAAGCUUGAUGAAUGGACACAGAAUGCCUAGCCCACAUUGUGUGAGUGAUUCUGGCAUAAUUUAUGUCCCAACUGUGGAGCUCCAAUAAGCCCAUAAAUCCAGGCCAGCAUUCGAGACAAUUCCAAAUGUCAGCUACUCUGCAAACCACGAAGCUUGCAGCUUGAUGUCGGUGUCUGAUGGAAGACAUAAAGAAGCCGGGGUUUCCAUAGGUACCUUGGUUGGACUGAAGAUGAUUUAACAACUAUAAUUGCGCUCAAAUAGCUCAGUUCCUUCCUCUGAGGCAAGUUCUAGACCCUACUACUUUCUGCAAAGCCAAGUUGCUCAGAAAGUGCCUGUAAUCGGUGAUGAGCAGCCUCCAGUGGGCUCUGGAAGAAAGCAAGAUUUAGCUUCUGAAGACUUCAAAUCAAUCAAGACUUCAGCCCACCAUCGAUCAGAGGGACUUGCUGUGUGUAUGUUUCUCCCAGCACCCAGCACAGAGGCACAAAGGCACAGAGGCCCCACGGUGCUUAAUGAGGUUUCUGAAAGAAAUUGCAAUGCAAUUUUUAAUGUGUGUUUGGAUUUGAGGAUUUGGGUCUUCUUCCUUCUCCUUCCUCUUCUUCCUCCUCUUUCUCUUCCUCCUCUUCCUGGGAAUAAGAAGAAGAUAUACAUCAUGACUAGAAUAAUUUGGCAUGGAAAAAUUGGCUGGAAACAAGGACACAUAGAAAAAUUGUCUAUUGUACCAACCGCUACCAUCAAAGUCACCCUUUGGUCAAGAUGAAGAAGUGCUGGAAGUUUUGAGGCGCCAUCUCUCUUUGCCCAAGGUCCCAAGGGAUUUUUGUGGUUAUAUUCUUUAUCUGCAUAAUUUUAAUCUCCACUAACCUCCUGCCUGUGGUCCAAGAAAAGCCAUCUUAUGGUUUACUCACAAGCUAAGAUACAAACUUUUUAAUUCUGUCUCCUUAGUGGGUUUGUGAGUGUAUGUGUGGCUGCACCUUGUGCUUUGACAAAGUUGAAGAAAGACAUACAUACAGAGCAGGAAGAGUCAGGAAAGCAAAGCCAAAGGGCUGGGGUGGGUAAGAACCCUGGCUGCCCUGCCGAGGACCUGGGUUUGGUUCCCAGCAACCAAUGGCACCUCACAACCAUGGGUCAUUCCAGUUCCAGGAGAUCU